rnacentral:tRNA from 1 species
GGAGGGCUAGUGAAGUGGCUAAACACGGCAGACUGUAAAUCUGCUCCUUUCAGGUUCGGUGGUUCGAAUCCAUCGCCCUCCACCA